rnacentral:rRNA from 1 species
UACGUAGGGGGCGAGCGUUGUCCGGAUUCAUUGGGCGUAAAGAGCUCGUAGGCGGCUUGGCAAGUCGGGUGUGAAAACUUCAGGCUCAACCUGGAGCGGCCACUCGAUACUGCCAUGGCUUGAGUCCGGUAGGGGACCACGGAAUUCCUGGUGUAGCGGUGAAAUGCGCAGAUAUCAGGAGGAACACCGGUGGCGAAGGCGGUGGUCUGGGCCGGAACUGACGCUGAGGAGCGAAAGCUAGGGGAGCAAACAGG